rnacentral:rRNA from 1 species
UACGUAGGGUGCAAGCGUUGUCCGGAAUUAUUGGGCGUAAAGAGCUCGUAGGCGGUCUGUCGCGUCGGCUGUGAAAACCCGGAGCUCAACUCCGGGCCUGCAGUCGAUACGGGCAAACUGGAGUGUUGCAGGGGAGACUGGAAUUCCUGGUGUAGCGGUGAAAUGCGCAGAUAUCGGGAGGAACACCUAUGGCGAAGGCAGCUCGCUGGGACGUUACUGACGCUGAGACGCGAAAGCGUGGGGAGCAAACAGG